GCCGUAGGGGGCCAGCGUUGUUCGGAAUUACUGGGUGUAAAGGGUUCGUAGGCGGUGUGGCAAGUCGGGAGUGAAAUCUCUGGGCUCAACCCAGAGUCUGCUUCCGAAACUGCUGUGCUUGAGUGUGGGAGAGGCGCGUGGAAUUGCAGGUGUAGCGGUGAAAUGCGUAGAUAUCUGCAGGAACACCCGUGGCGAAAGCGGCGCGCUGGACCACUACUGACGCUGAGGAACGAAAGCUAGGGGAGCAAACAGG
rnacentral:rRNA from 1 species